rnacentral:rRNA from 1 species
UACGUAGGAGGCAAGCGUUGUCCGGAAUUACUGGCGUAAAGCGCGUGUAGGUGGUGGGACAAGUCUGCUGUGAAAGCGCCUGGCUUAACCGGGCGAGGUCGGCGGAAACUGUCCGACUCGAGGACGGUAGAGGGGGUGGAAUUCCCGGUGUAGUGGUGAAAUGCGUAGAGAUCGGAGGAACACCUGUGGCGAAGGCGGCCCCCUGGGCCGGCCC